CUCCAACCCCCAGACACACACACACACACACACCGCCUGUCCCUUCUCGUUCCCAUGCCUAGACAGCCGGCUUGACAGCCAGUGACAAGUGCAGCUGGAUCUGCUGCUGUCCAUCACUGAGACUGGCUUUCAGCAGAGUUCUGUCUUACUACCAGAGGCUUCUCUGUCUCCUGCCAGACAUGCUGCCAGGACCAAACAAGGCAAGGCCAAGCUCUGCAGCAUGAUGGUGGAGGACAUUUUCUCGGCUCUGACAGCGGAGAAAAUGCAACAACAAGGUGGCCCUGCUGCAGCCACCAGCGCCUUUCAGGCUCCUGGAUUGGGUAUUAUUGUAUGCAGCUGCUGGAACCAGAUCCUCCUGCAUUACAGACCUGAGCACAGAGUGUGAUGACUUUUUCAGCCCCUUGAGAAGGAUGGAAAGCAGGUUAUGACUCUGCUCCAUAUACAGAAAAACCAAUGGAAUAAAGUACAUUUUUAAUUAUGCCCCGGAUGGAUCAGGACAUACAUGGGUGGUUUGCUCACAAUAAAUGCUGCAUAUAUUUACUAAAUGAAUAUAAACAUGUAUCAUAAAAACUUGUGCAGGGAAGUCAUUAUUCUAACUUAUAAAAACAGAUGUGAGCACAGAGUAGACUUAAUGGGCCAUUUGAUGAUUCUUCUGCUGAGACACCGUGAGCGAACGCAUAAAUUUUAAAUGCAAUUUGUAUUUUCUUUUGUUUUUGUCUCUGUGGUAAGGCGUUAUCUGUCAAAAUAGUGCAAAUAAUGUCAUACAUUCUCUUUUCUUCCUUCUUCUGGACAUGCACUACAUGUGAAUCAAUGAACAUCUGUUUUUAACAUCAUUUUAACUGUCUACCAUGUGAAAAAAUGGUGGAAAACUCGCCAUUUGUUACCAAGAACCUAACUAUAUGAUCAACAAAAAGUUUUAUCCUUACAUUGGUAAAUAAGUUAGAUAGUGCAAAAAAAUCUUACUAAAAUUGAUGUUAUCAAAAUCUAUUUUUGCAAUUUCAAAAAAAGCUGGAAAAAAUCUAUUGUUUGCAUAUACAGAAUCAGAUUUAUAAAGCAUUUGUAAGCCUUAGAAGAAUAAAGCAUUUUAUUUCUCAUUUGUUAUGGCUCCUGGUAUUUCUCAAUUUGUUAUUCAUGGAAGAUUAAAAACAGAAAUAUGAGAUGAUAUUGUAGGAAAACCAAUCAAUGGCACAUAUCAGUAAACCAAGCCAAACUGUUUACAUACAUUAAAUUCCCUCAUUGUUUUCUGUAUUUUGUGUCAUUGAUGAUAUCACCUUGUGUAGUAUAAAAUAAAAUUACAACCAUUUGAUUUAUGUUCUGUACUUAAUUUCUUCUCUUUCUGGAGAUAUACAUGCACACCUGAAAAUUUUAAACCUGAAACUCAGGACAACACUAAGAGAUGGUUGAUCAUUUUCUCGCUGCCUUCUCUACCACAGGACAAAAAAUUUAUUUUCCUGUAAUAUUUUCAAAAUGUCACAAUCCACAUUCGAAAACAUCAUAUAAAUGGAAGCAUCUGUCAUCAUUGUCCUCUUUGUGGCUUUAGAGAUAAUCUCUUGAACCUCUACAAAUAAAAGGAGAACCUAAACCCGGCAUCAAUACCAUUGAGGUAAAUGACCUAAAGAGUCCUGACCUUCAUGCUGUUUAAAUCCUGCGUGUAUAUAUUCCUGUAUGAAUGUAUCCACUACCAUUAAAUCACCAUCGCACAAUUUGUUUUUCAUUUCAUGUGUUUCUCUAAAACACCGCCCACCGCCACCAUGUCAGUUGGCCUCAGCUCGCAGUAAGCCUAUUUCGGAGAGCUUCGCGUAGCAGCAUUCAACAGCUGGUGUCUGUAUUUAAAGAGCGCCACACUGGAGUAUGUUGUACGAGGGCCAUUGACACAGUGAUCCCCAAGAACACGAGGGGCGCUCGGCUGUUUGGCCCAUGCCAGACGCUCUCAACAUAAACACGCAAAACAGAGGCAGACGGGGGGCAGCUGCCAUAAAUAGAUGCAACCAUUCUUCAAUACAGGGUUACAUGCAAAAGCAGACGUCCAAGACGGUAGAUUUGUCCCACCUUCAGUGGUUUUGUUGUGUUUACAAAGUCAGAUUGUGAUACCUGUGCCCAUGUUUGUCAGUUUGAAUACAUACAGUUAUACUUGAUGAACAAAUGAUGAGGAGAAAGGAAAGGAAAGGAAAAGAAAUAGGAAAGGAAAGGAUAAGGGGACCAUCCUGUCUGUCUGCCCCCACCGUGGGAUUAUGGACAGCUGUUUAAUCUGACCAGCUCCAGAGACAGGACACACAUGCACAUCAUGCUCUGGAUUUUACUUUUAAUACAUUAGGAAGUCUGCUCGGUCUGAAACCCCAUCUGUGACCACCUGUGAUUCCACCGUGCUAUGUGCUGAAGAACAAAAGCCGUAUACCAAAAAGAGGAGAAGUGAAUCACCUGCAGACGUUGACCUGUUUUGGAGGUUCAGGUGUAGCUUUUCGAACACGUACGUCUGAAAGGAGCCACUUUGAAACCAAUGCAGGCGAAAAUAGAUCCACUCAAUUCUACUGCCAUCUGUCCUAAAUACUCCUGCAUAUUAGGCUGAAAAUAAACCAGCGUGGUACAAUCAUUACCUACCUUGCUGCUGCUGCUGCCUGUGCUUGUUUGUCUGUGUUUCUCAGACUCUGAGAACAGCUGUAUGUCUGUACGGUUUGACGUAAUCGGGGCUAAAAGAUUGCUCACCAAAGAAGCAGUCUGCAGUCUGCGUUCUAAAAAUGUUCUCUGUCUUCUGCUCUCCCCUUGUGCCAUGAUGAAACGAGAUGAAAAACAAUUCACUGCAAGAGGCACUAAACCACAGAGAGCACGCCGAACAACUGGAUGAGCGCAGUUUGGUGGGUUCUUCAAACCUUCUGAAGUCCUUCUGGAAUCUUAUUAAAGAUUUAAAGACACAAGCUCUCAUUGGAGCGCCAUCAAGAUAAACAUAUGAGUACAAAUCGUUUUACAUUAGACUGCACUUCUGAGGAUGGAUUUAAACUCAUUUUACAUCUCAUUUUGUGUGUGGACUCUAUGCAAUGUAUAUGUGUGCAUGCCCAUAAGCAUUUCCACUGAAAAUACAGCUGCAGCUUAUUAGCUCUGGCUAACCGCUGCAGAACAGUUCCCUUAAAAUCCCCUCGCCUAUUCAAUCUCUUGUACUCCACAGAGACUCCGUCGGUGACCACAUAGGCCUAAAACUCUAUCUCUCUCUCUCUCCGUCUCUUGCUCCUGCCCUCCCACUGUAAUUCCUCAGUCUCCAGGAAUGCUGUUGUUUUUAAUUUCUCCCAGCUGCUCUGGCUGGCUGCCCAGCCGCCUGCCUUUCCACAUCUGUUCCCUAUCAGGCCGCUGUGGAGUCCACACAAACAGAGAAUAAGCCCCCCUGCCACUCUCCCCCCCCUAAGGUCUUUAUAUCAAAACAUUUUGGGAUUGUAGCUCUGUCCCUUGGACAUGAGACUUAUGGGUGCAGAACCGCCCACUUUUUCUUACAGGCAGAAAAUGACAUUUUUAGGAAAAACAAUACAGUUGGCCCAGAACCAAAACACCAUCUGACAGCUACAAAGAGCAAAAACAAGCAUGCUUUCUACAUCUGCCAAUGAGUUUUGUGUUUUAAAACAUGCCUGCUAUCUAACAGCGUUUGGAUUCUAUCACAGGUGAGUUGGGAAUGUGUUUAUAUCCUUUCAUAUGUCUGCACAGGAAGCCACUCUUGCAGCAAGAUCGCAGACUCUGGUUCAUCUUGUGCUGAUUUGGAGUUCGGAGUCUUUACAGCCCUCACUAAUAACAGGGUGGGAGUCAGACUAGUACUUGCACAUGCUUUUAGACGUUUGUCUGUGUAAGUUAAUGCAUUUCGGCUACUUCACUCCAAUCUCUAUAACAGGCUGUUCCUGUGGUGGAAAAUCAAUUUUUUUUUUGCUCAUAAAACAUAAAUAAAAAAAAACCCUUACAAGUCUACAAAAUGCUGGUGCUUUUGUUAAGGACACAAACACAGACAUUUUCCCGUGUUACUUAAGAAUCGCUGUGAUAGUACACAGAGCCGGCUGAACAAACACGUUGAGCACAAAACAAAGCUGGGGAAUGGGAGGACUGGGGUUGCGAGGGUGGGUGUGUGUGUGUGUGUGCGUGGGUGUGUGUGGGGGGCUUAGGGGGUCAUCUGUUCUUCCCACUAAGCACUGAAAAAAACCCAUCCUGUCUUUGAUCAGAUUACAGCAAUCAAAUCACCGAGAGGUCACCAGCUUUUUCAAGUCAAAAGUAUCCAGAUCUUCUUUUAUUGGUUAAACUGGCAAGAAAAGCUGGACUACCUCGAGGACAAGCGGGAAGGGAAUGAUGAAUCAAAGGCAAUUUAUCCGGGGCCAGAGGUGCUAAGGUUAGAGGAGUUGUAUUUCUGUCUCACCAAUCUGCAGGGAUUCUGUCAUACCGAGCUUAUAUCUGCGAGAGCUGUUGAUGUAAUUGUAUUGAAGUUCUAGCGACCAUCUGUUCUCCUUUGGGAGGGCCUGGCUCCUCUUGUCGGCAGUGAAGUGGUUAUGUGCAGCAUAUCACUGCUGCCGACGUGCUCACGGAGAAAAAACUUCCUUUUCAGAUUUUCCCAACGGCUGCUAAUAAAAUCCAGAUGCUA